rnacentral:lncRNA from 1 species
UUCUGAAGAAAUGAAAAGGAAAUAUUCAUCCGGUGUUUCAUCAGACGAGAGCCAAGGGAGCAGCCACAAUAAUAACAGCCACAACGAGACCAAGAAAACCUGCGCCGAUUGCGGCACCAGCAAGACGCCUCUCUGGCGCGGCGGCCCAGCCGGUCCCAAGGUGAUUUCUCCGUCGAUCCGGAGUAAACUCGUACCACGAUCAAUCGUGGAUUUUACCCGACCCUCCGAUCUGAUCUGGGUUUUUUCUCAAUUUCUUUCUUUUCAGUCUCUCUGCAACGCUUGCGGGAUCAGAAGCAGGAAGAAGCGAAGAGCCGUAAUCGGCGGAGGAUCGGAGAAAAAACCAAAAAGAGCGGGGAACAGUAACGAUUCUUUGAACGAGAGAUUGUUAGCUUUGGGAAGAGAGGUUUUGAUGCAGAGAUCGACGGUGGAGAAACAGAGGAG